rnacentral:rRNA from 1 species
GAUGAACGCUGGCGGCGUGCCUAAUACAUGCAAGUCGAGCGAACGGACGAGAAGCUUGCUUCUCUGAUGUUAGCGGCGGACGGGUGAGUAACACGUGGAUAACCUACCUAUAAGACUGGGAUAACUUCGGGAAACCGGAGCUAAUACCGGAUGAUAUUUUGAACCGCAUGGUUCAAAAGUGAAAGACGGUCUUGCUGUCACUUAUAGAUGGAUCCGCGCUGCAUUAGCUAGUUGGUAAGGUAACGGCUUACCAAGGCAACGAUGCAUAGCCGACCUGAGAGGGUGAUCGGCCACACUGGAACUGAGACAGGGUCCAGACUCCUACGGGAGGCAGCAGUAGGGAAUCUUCCGCAAUGGGCGAAAGCCUGACGGAGCAACGCCGCGUGAGUGAUGAAGGUCUUCGGAUCGUAAAACUCUGUUAUUAGGGAAGAACAUAUGUGUAAGUAACUGUGCACAUCUUGACGGUACCUAAUCAGAAAGCCACGGCUAACUACGUG